UACGAAGGGGGCUAGCGUUGCUCGGAAUCACUGGGCGUAAAGCGCACGUAGGCGGCUUUUUAAGUCAGGGGUGAAAUCCUGGAGCUCAACUCCAGAACUGCCUUUGAUACUGAGAAGCUUGAGUCCGGGAGAGGUGAGUGGAACUGCGAGUGUAGAGGUGAAAUUCGUAGAUAUUCGCAAGAACACCAGUGGCGAAAGCGGCUCACUGGACCACAACUGACGCUGAUGCGCGAAAGCUAGGGGAGCAAACAGG
rnacentral:rRNA from 1 species